CGGAGGGGCGUAGCGUUGUUCGGUAAGUUAACUGGGCGGUAAAAGACGCGACGUAGGCGGACGUGGAAGUUAGGGGUGGAAAUACCCGGGGCGUCAACCUCGGAACUGCCUUCAAAACUAAUCAGUCUGGAGUUCGAGAGAGGUGAGUGGAAUUCCGAGUGUAGAGGUGAAAUUCGUAGAUAAUUCGGAGGAAACGACCAGUGGCGAAGGCGGCUCACUGGCUCGAUACUGACGCUGAGGUGCGAAAAGCGUGGGAGCAAACAGGAUU
rnacentral:rRNA from 1 species